UGGGGAAUAUUGGACAAUGGGGGCAACCCUGAUCCAGCCAUGCCGCGUGAGUGAAGAAGGCCUUAGGGUUGUAAAGCUCUUUCAACGGUGAAGAUGAUGACGGUAGCCGUAGAAGAAGCCCCGGCUAACUCCGUGCCAGCAGCCGCGGUAAUACGGAGGGGGCAAGCGUUGUUCGGAAUUACUGGGCGUAAAGGGCGUGUAGGCGGCGCAUUGCGUCAGGUGUGAAAGCCCCGGGCUCAACCUGGGAGGUGCACUUGAUACGGAUGUGCUUGAGACCGGGAGAGGUGAGCGGAAUUCCCAGUGUAGAGGUGAAAUUCGUAGAUAUUGGGAAGAACACCAGUGGCGAAGGCGGCUCACUGGCCCGGUUCUGACGCUGAGGCGCGAAAGCGUGGGGAGCAAACA
rnacentral:rRNA from 1 species